UACGUAGGUGGCAAGCGUUAUCCGGAUUUAUUGGGCGUAAAGAGAACGCAGGCGGUCUUUUAAGUCUGAUGUGAAAGCCUUCGGCUUAACCGGAGUAGUGCAUUGGAAACUGGGAGGCUUGAGUGCAGAAGAGGAGAGUGGAACUCCAUGUGUAGCGGUGAAAUGCGUAGAUAUAUGGAAGAACACCAGUGGCGAAAGCGGCUCUCUGGUCUGUAACUGACGCUGAGGUUCGAAAGCGUGGGUAGCAAACAGG
rnacentral:rRNA from 1 species